UACGGGGGGGGCAAGCGUUGUUCGGAAUUACUGGGCGUAAAGGGCUCGUAGGUGGCCAACUACGUCAGACGUGAAAUCCCUCGGCUUAACCGGGGAACUGCGUCUGAUACUGGAUGGCUUGAGUUUGGGAGAGGGACGCGGAAUUCCAGGUGUAGCGGUGAAAUGCGUAGAUAUCUGGAGGAACACCGGUGGCGAAGGCGGCGUCCUGGACCAACACUGACACUGAGGAGCGAAAGCCAGGGGAGCAAACGGG
rnacentral:rRNA from 1 species